UCUUGAAACUUACUUUAUGCAGACCAGAAGUGUCAUACACGAGUUCAAUGCGGCAAGAAGACACCCUGACAUCUCCUUAGCACCCACAAAAUGCCUUCGGGUCUGGGUCCAGAAACUGGAUGGAGGUCUUCCAUUCAAGCCUCUGUCUUAUUUUAAUCUCAAGGGAUGGCAUGAUUAUGGUACAUCACCUUACAGAUGGGGAAACUGAGGCUGGGAAUUCAGUGGUCCGAAGCCAUGCUACUAUCAAAGGAGAACAUCAAGGAACAGUGCCUGACGGGCUUGCCCAAGCCAGCCUGACCAGGAUAGUCCACUGUGGAGAUGAUGGAAGCCCUCGCUGCUUCAGAGGCUACUGACAACCUUUCAGAGCUCCCUGGAGCAGAGGGAUAUAAGAGUGUAGAUCUACAUGUCCCGAAGGGAUGCGUCUCCUAAACUGUUUCCUGGCCGCAUUCUGGGAACUCUGACUUCCUGUUCAGAGAAUUCAGUGGGCCAAACAGGACACAGGGGUGGGAGGAGCUCAAGAGUGCCACGGUGCCCCACAUCAAACUGCACCCUGACCUGGCAAGGAUCAAGGAGAGGUGGGCUGGUUCCCAUCAAUGAGCACUAACCCAUUACAAGGACUGGUGGGCACCAAGGAGCUUCAGCAGACGCCUGGAGCUUCCAGGCCCCAACACUGACCACACCGAGGGUCUUCUAAGUCAUGUCCGGAGCCAUGUCUCCUGAGCUCAGCUACAUGGCCAGCAGUGCAAGGUGCUAUGGACCCUACAGUGUCUGCUUGGUACAUCUGAGGUGAAAGAAGCGGCUGCUUGUGGGCAUCUGUGCCGUCUACUUCUGCUCUGAGAAGGAAACAGGAUGAUGGCGAGAAGGCAGAGAAGCACAUACGGUCAGGAACUGAGACAAGAAGUCUGAAGCCCCCCUUUCAGUGAGUAGUACCACUGCCCAAACCAGGUGAGAUUUAUAUUUUAUUUCCUUAUUUUAUUUGUUGUUAUUUUGUUUUCUGGGAUAGGGUUUCUUCGUGUAGCUCUAACUGUCCUGGAACUCACUCUAUAGAUCAGGUUGGCCUUGAACCCAGAGAUCUGCCUGCCUCUGCCUUGGGAAUGCUGGGACUAAAGGCAUGUGCCACCAAUGCCUGGCAAGAUUUUUAUUUUUAAAGAGUCACUUCAACUUAAAAAUGAUGAUGGGGAUUGGGGAUUUAGCUCAGCGGUAGAGCACUUGCCUACCUGGGUUCAGUCCCUAGCUCCGAAAAAAAGAAAAAAGAAAAAGAAAAAAAAAUGAUGAUGCUAUGAAUUGCCAAGAAAAUAUUUUACUUGACUCAUAUUUCAAAAAUAAACAAUUUUAAUUAAAUUUAUUUGUGGUUUGGAAAAAAUCCGUCAUGUAUAUUCCAUUCUCAGGCAUAUUAUAAUUUAGCUUUAAAUAGCAUUAUCGUCUUCAUUUCAAACUUGCUGAUAUGAUUGCCUACCUGGAACAUUUGGGAUGAUGUCUAAUAAAUCAUAAAGGAGGGAAAUCAGAAGUGACAGUUUUCGGAUGUUAAAUAUUCCGCUACUUAUAAACUUCAGCCAAUUUGAACAUGUGGUAGAAGACAAUCCCAAGGUCAGCGAAAAACACACAAAAUGCCCAGGAACAAUCUAAGAUGUGUGACAUUAAAAAGAAUAGCUACAAGCAAAGACAGCAUCAGUUAGUUUGCCAACAUGGAUGGGAGAAAGUUCAUGAGACCUCAAUCCUACACCAUGAACUCCUGACAACCAAAGAGAACCAAGAGUGGGAGAAACAGUCUUUCCUAAGUAAGAGCAGAUCAGUUGGUUAUCCAAUACUAAAUAAUCAAUCCUGAAAACAUUUACAUAUUAGUAACAUUGUAUAGCCUGAGCAACACACACACACACACACACACAACAAUGUAAAAAGGAGGUCAUGAAUUUCAAAGAGAGCAAAGAAGGCUCUAUGAGAGGGUUUGGAAAGAGGAAUGGGAAAGGGGAAAUAAUGGAAUUGCAUUAUAAUCUCAAAAGAUGAGUGAGGGAGAGAGAGAGAGAAGUAGAUAUGGUUAUGGUGAUGUAUGCCUUUAAUCCCAGGCACACAGGGAGAGGCAGGCUGAUCUCUGUGAGUUUGAGACUAAUCUGGUUUACAUGAGAAUUCCAGGACAGCCACGUCUACAUAGAGAGAGACCUUAUGUCAAACAAAAUGAAACAAACAAGCCAUGUGGUACUCCACUAAUGUGCCUAAUAUUUAUGUUUAAAUUUCAAUUAAAAUAAGUCAAAAUAGGGGCUGGAGAGAUGGCUCAGUGGUUAAGAGCACCGACUGCUCUUCCUGAGGUCCUGAGUUCAAAUCCCAGCAACCACAUGGUGGCUUACAACCAUCUGUACUGAGAUCUGAUGCCCUUUUCUGGUGUGUCUGAAGAUAGCUACAAUGUAUAUAAUAAAUAAAGAUUUUAAAAAAAUAAGUCAAAAUAAAAUGUAGGUACAAACAUUUCCCUGAAAGAAAAAUAUGAAUUUAUAUAUAAUGGAAAGGCAUGUUACAUAUUAGUUUUAAUUUUUAAUUUAAAGAAUAAAGAAAAGGGGGCUGGAGAGAAAGUUCAGCAAUUAAGAGCACUGGCUGCGGGGCGGGGAUUUAGCUCAGUGGUAGAGCGCUUACCUAGGAAGCGCAAGGCCCUGGGUUCGGUCCCCAGCUCUGAAAAAAAGAACCAAAAAAAAAAAAAAAAAAAAAAAAAGAGCACUGGCUGCUCUUCCGGAGAAUCCAGGCUCAAUUUCCAGCACCCACAGGUAUCUCACAACUGUCUGUAACUCCAGUUCCAGGGGAUCCAUCCAGUACUUUUUUUUACCUCUGUGGGGACACACACACACACGUAAGUACAUACGUAAAUGAAUGAAUGAAUGAAUGAAUGAAUGAAUGAAUGAAUAAAUAAAUAAGACUAAAAAGAAGCACCAAGGAAACACAGAAUACUUCUAGGGUUUUAUUGUUUGUUUAAGAUUUAUUUAUUUUGGGCUGGAGAGAUGGCUCAGUGGCUGAGAGCACUGACUGCUCUUCCAGAGGCCCUGAGUUCAAAUCCCAGCAACCACAUGGUGGCUCACAACCAUCUGUAAUGCGAUCUGAUGCCCUCUUUGGGUGUGGAUGAAGACAGCUACAGUGUACUUACAUAUAAAUAAAUAAAUAAAUAAAUAAAUAAAUAAAUAAAUAAAUACAUCUUUUAAAAAAGAUGUAUUUAUUUUAUUUUAUGUGUAUGAAUGUUUUGCUUGCAUGUAUGUUAACUUCAUGUGUGCCUGAUGCCCUGAGAAGGAGGAAGAAGAGGAGGAAGGAGAGGAGGAGGAAGAGGAGGAGGAGGAGGAGGAGGACAACAACAUCAACAAUAUCAACUAUAACAACAACAAGAGGAAGAGGUAAGAAGGAGAGACAGCAGUGACAGAGGCUUUUGAUCCCUUGGAAUGGAGUUACAGAUGGUUCUGAGUCAUCAUGUGGGUGCAGAGAAUUGAACCCAUGUCCUCUGUGAGAACAGCAAGUGCUCUUAAUCGCUGAGCUGUUUCUCCACCCUCCCCCGACCCCUCCUUUGUUGAUUUUAAGCUAAUGUUUCUCUGUAUAGACCAGACUGGCAUCGAACUUUCUAAGCCCCUUCUUCCUUUGCUUUCUGAGUGCUGUGAUGACAGGUAUACACUAGAAUACUCUCGCUUUUUACUGAUUUCUGCUUAUUUAACAAGGCAGAAAAAGCACAAGGACAAAAGAAUAAUAAAAUAUUUUAUUUUUAUUAAUCGUUUUAGACUUUAGCUAUUCUUAGACUUGAACUAAUGGUGAAUAAAAGUAGUUACUGUAAG